GACAAAAGUGAAACCCAUUCUUCCCAGAACAGGAACAAGACGAGGAUGCCCACUCUUGCCACUCUUAUUCAACAUAGUACUGGAAGUUUUAGCUGGUGCAAUUAGACAAGAAAAAGAAA